rnacentral:rRNA from 1 species
AACGAACGCUGGCGGCAUGCCUAACACAUGCAAGUCGAACGAGAUCUUCGGGUCUAGUGGCGCACGGGUGCGUAACGCGUGGGAAUCUGCCCUUUGGUUCGGAAUAACAGUUGGAAACGACUGCUAAUACCGGAUGAUGACGAAAGUCCAAAGAUUUAUCGCCAGAGGAUGAGCCCGCGUAGGAUUAGCUAGUUGGUUGGGUAAAGGCGCACCAAGGCGACGAUCCUUAGCUGGUCUGAGAGGCUGAUCAGCCACACUGGGACUGAGACACGGCCCAGACUCCUACGGGAGGAAGCAGUGGGGAAUACUGGACAAUGGGCGAAAGCCUGAUCCAGCAAUGCCGCGUGAGUGAUGAAGGCCUUAGGGUUGUAAAGCUCUUUUACCCGGGAUGAUAAUGACAGUACCGGGAGAAUAAGCUCCGGCUAACUCCGUGCCAGCAGCCGCAGUAA